rnacentral:rRNA from 1 species
GACGAACGCUGGCGGCGUGCCUAACACAUGCAAGUCGAGCGAGUGAAUCUCCUUCGGGAGUGAAGCUAGCGGCGGACGGGUGAGUAACACGUGGGCAACCUGCCUCAUAGAGGGGAAUAGCCUUCCGAAAGGAAGAUUAAUACCGCAUAAGAUUGUAGCUUCGCAUGAAGUAGAAAUUAAAGGAGCAAUCCGCUAUGAGAUGGGCCCGCGGCGCAUUAGCUAGUUGGUGAGGUAACGGCUCACCAAGGCGACGAUGCGUGGCCGACCUGAGAGGGUGAUCGGCCACAUUGGGACUGAGACACGGCCCAGACUCCUACGGGAGGCAGCAGUGGGGAAUAUUGCACAAUGGGGGAAGCCCUGAUGCAGCAACGCCGCGUGAGUGAUGACGGCCUUCGGGUUGUAAAGCUCUGUCUUCAGGGACGAUAAUGACGGUGCCUGAGGAGGAAGCCACGGCUAACUACGUGCCAGCCGCCGCGGUAA